UCGCUCUUCAACGAGGAAUCCCUAGUAAGCACAAGUCAUCAGCUUGUGUUGAUUACGUCCCUGCCCUUUGUACACACCGCCCGUCGCUACUACCGAUUGAAUGGCUUAGUGAGACCUUCGGAUUGGCAUUCGGAGGUUGGCAACAACCUCUGUUUGCUGAAAAGUUGGUCAAACUUGGUCAUUUAGAGGAAGUAAAAGUCGUAACAAGGUUUCCGUAGGUGAACCUGCGGAAGGAUCAUUAAUGAUUUUUUUAAAGCAAAACCUUUUUUUUAAAAAAAGGUUUUGCGAAUAUAUUUAAAACCCCACUCUUUUAAAAAUAAAUUUCUUAAUUCAUAUUUUAUGAAUAAAAAAAGAUCACUUUCAACAACGGAUCUCUUGGCUCUCGCAUCGAUGAAGAACGUAGCGAAGUGCGAUAAGUAAUGUGAAUUGCAGAAUUCCGUGAAUCAUCGAAUCUUUGAACGCAAAUUGCACUUUCUGGUAUUCCGGAAAGUAUGCCUGUUUGAGGGUCAGUUAAAUAAAAAUCGGUGUUAUUGCUAUUAUGGCGAUGCAUCGGAAUUGAGUCGUCUUUACCUUUGGUUUAAGUGACUUAAAAUUAUGUACGAUUUUUGAACGUAUUUAAAUUAUUUACUUAUGUUCAUAAUAUCACAUAUUAGGUGCGAUCAUCCACAUGAUUUUGCGCCUAUAAUUUUUCAUUAUUUGACCUCAAAUCAGGUAAGAAUACCCGCUGAACUUAAGCAUAUCAAUAAGCGGAGGAAAAGAAAAUAACAAUGAUUCCCUUAGUAACGGCGAGUGAAGGGGGAUAAGCUCAAAUUUUAAAUCUGCUAGGUUUUACCUAUCAGAGUUGUAAUUUGAAGAAGCGUUUUCCGCGUCUCGGUUGACCCAAAUCCUUUGGGAUAUGGUAUCAUGGAGGGUGAGAAUCCCGUCCGGUUGACUUUGUGACGCUUUACGAUACGUUUUCAAAGAGUCGAGUUGUUUGGGAUUGCAGCUCAAAAUGGGAGGUAAAUUUCUCCUAAGGCUAAAUAUUGGCGAGAGACCGAUAGCGAACAAGUACCGUGAGGGAAAGAUGAAAAGAACUUUGAAAAGAGAGUUAAAUAGUACGUGAAAUUGUUGAAAGGGAAACGAUUGAAGUCAGUCGUACCAACGGGAAAUCAACCUUUCGAGCGGGGUUUUUGAGGUUUCAAAGAGUUUCAAAGCCUUUGGGAUUUUAAAAUUUCUUCUCUGCUGGUGUACUUUCUCGUAGGUAGGUCAACAUCGAUUUUGAACAUCAUAAAAAGACUGGAGGAAUGUAGCUUCGAUCUCGUAUUGAAGUGUUAUAGACUUUGGUAAAUGUGAUGAUCAAGAUCGAGGAUUGCAACGAAUAUCCUUUUGGGCUAUUCGUCUGAUCUCUGAUCGUUGCCUUGGUAUCGAAAGCUUGCUUAUGAUAUUAAGGUAUUACGGUCAAAAGGUUAGAACGGAUUACAUUCGUUAAGGAUGUUGACGUAAUGGCUUUAAACGACCCGUCUUGAAACACGGACCAAGGAGUCUAACAUAUAUGCGAGUGUUA
rnacentral:rRNA from 1 species